rnacentral:rRNA from 1 species
UACAGAGGUCUCAAGCGUUGUUCGGAUUCAUUGGGCGUAAAGGGCGCGUAGGCGGCCCGGUAAGUCCGCUGUGAAAGUCCAGGGCUCAACCCUGGAAUGCCGGUGGAAACUGUCGGGCUAGAGUCCGGAAGAGGCGAGUGGAAUUCCUGGUGUAGCGGUGAAAUGCGCAGAUAUCAGGAGGAACACCAAUGGCGAAGGCAGCUCGCUGGGACGGUACUGACGCUGAGACGCGAAAGCGUGGGGAGCAAACAGG